GCCACCGUGGCUCAGUUGGUAGAGCAGGCGUUUCGUAAACGUCAGGUCAAGGGUUCGAGUCCCUUCGGUGGCU
rfam:Chloroflexi bacterium 44-23 SCNpilot_bf_inoc_scaffold_21, whole genome shotgun sequence.